GACUCUGUAGUUGAUCUACAACAGUAAAUUGCAAGUUUAAAGGUGUGUAGACUUUAGCACCGGAGUUU
rnacentral:tRNA from 1 species